GCAUCAGUCAGGUUUCCACAAGUUAG
rnacentral:sRNA from 1 species